CGGAGCAGCUUCUCCAGCAUGUCUGCCUCAGGAUCAACCAGCAUGUGACCUGCAGGGCGACCGGACACCUGAGCGAUUCCUCUGCUGACACGUUCACAGAGGAACUCAGUGGACGGUGGACUGAAAACCGUGCUCAGCAGAGGAAGAUGAAAAGGAGGCUCCUCUGCAGGAAAAGGGGUGGAAAAGCGUUUUUGGAGGGUCCUGUUUCCCCAAACAAGGAGGAGGAGAAAACAUUUCAGCUUAAAGGAAACAUUUACAAACUUCAAACCGACGUCUGCAGCGUGAUGACGGAGACUUCUGGAGAAAGAGAAAACGUCUCUGGUAUCAGACGGAAUCAGACGUGAUUCUGAGUUCAGGAAGCUGCCGCUCUGACUGCAGGUGGGCGGAGUCACAGGUGAAGCUGUUUGGUCCUGCUGGAGUAGAAAUGAAAAACAAACCAGAGAUCUGAGAGCUGCUGCAGUUUCUGUACACACUGCAAAGGAAACAUUGCAGCGGAUUGCUUCAGCAAAGCUCCGUCCAGAGAGAACCCAGGAGGUUCUGGAGAACUGGACUCACUCUGUCAUGGCUGCACUCCCAUGAUCCUCUGCAGGAAACAGAAAUGAAAACAAAUGUAUCUGGAAGAAAGAAUUUAGCAGGAUAUGAUGUGCAGACUGAAGCCGUUCGGCCGAGCCGCCAACCGCUCCUCCUCACUUCUCCAGCUCCCUAAUGACUCGGCUGCUUUGUUGGGAAAGCCAUGGGCUGUACCCUGAAAGUCCUGAAGGGAUUCUCUGCACCUCCUCGUACUUUUCAGCAGUGAUGCUGCCAUCACACGAGAGUCAAUCACUUCAGGUGAGAGCCUGAUCCAUCAGCUGCAGGCGGAUGGCAGCCUGGAGGGUUCCUGGAUGAUUGUAUUCCACGGCUCACGCCGUCCUCGCCGUCCAGGACAGACGUGGAAAGCGCUGAAACAAAUGUUUGUGUUCAUCCUCUGCGUCCGCUGCAGUUUGCCUGCAGGUUGCUGCUGUGAUCAACUUUAUUCUUCGUGAAGAUCAGGGAGAAGAAACAGCCGCCAAACUGCAGGUCAGAUCCACGCCAAACCAGACGGUUCUCCUCAGAGCUCCACUUUCCUGUUAUCCCAGCAUCUGGACCGAGGUCACCCAGGCCGUCAGAACCGCCGAGGUCCUGAGGCUCCGGUCUCCGUCAGCCAUAAACCUCUCUGCUCUGGUUUGAGAUGUGACGGUAAAUCGAUCACAGAUAGAAGCGGUCUGGAUUCUGUCAGCGUCCAUCGAUCUCCAGAACUCACUGAAUCCCUUUAGAGUUCAGGGGUUGCUGGAGCCUAUCCCAGCAGCUGUUGGGGUCACCCUGAACAGGUCGCCACACACACAUUCACACCUGGGAACAGUGUAGAGACCCCACACAGGAAGGUCCCAGCCGGGAUUUGAACCAGGAUGGUGAGGGGGCUAACCACUACACCACCGUGCAGACGUUAGCGUACAAGCGUUCAAGGACUGAUAGGUAGAUAAAACUUAAUAAAUCCAACUAGGAGAAACUGGU